GGGUGGUACAAAGAGCAAGCGACCUCCGCGAGGUGGAAGCAAAUCUACAAAAAGCCAUCCUAAGUUCGGAUUGGAGUCUGCAACUCGACUCCAUGAAGUCGGAAUCGCUAGUAAUCGCGAAUCAGCAUGUCGCGGUGAAUACGUUCCCGGGCCUU
rnacentral:rRNA from 1 species